rnacentral:lncRNA from 1 species
CUAAGACUGUAAUAUCCUUCUGCUUUCUGUAGCAAAGAAAGUUGCAACGGAUUGAUUGACAGCCCUCAAGCCAAGGAUUCUACAAGAGCUGGCUGGGUCAGAAUUCUAAGGGCUUAGAGAAAACAGUUUUUCAACUGACUCUCAGUCAGUCUGGAGCUGGAAUUCAAGCCUGAAAGUGUGAAUCUGGGACUCUUCCUGGACAAAUCCAUCUAUCAAGCUGCCUGCCUUAUAAUAACAUCAAGCAAAGGAAAUAAUGAAAAAAAUGUGAAGGAAGGAGGCCUUGCAGUCCCACAUCUCAAGCUAUACUAUAAAGCAGUGGUCAUCAAAACAAUAUGGUAUUGGCUAAGAGACAGAAAGGAGGAUCAGUGGAAUAGACUUGGGAUUCAAUCAGUACAGAGGAUGACUUGGAUUCAAUCUAUCCUAUAACUGAGGAUAUCUCUGAAGGUUUAUGGUCAAAGUCUUUCACAGAUGUAGUCCUAUUGAAAUCAGCUAUUCUGCAAAAGUUUUUGGUAGAGAUUCAUGGUAUCAUUGUUCACAUAUAAAAUUAGCACAUGGUAUUAAUGAAAAUGUACACAUUAUUGAGGAAGAAAAUGAAGAAGAGACUGUGGAAA